rnacentral:rRNA from 1 species
AGUGAACGCUGGCGGUAGGCCUAACACAUGCAAGUCGAACGGCAGCACAGUAAGAGCUUGCUCUUACGGGUGGUGAGUGGCGGACGGGUGAGGAAUACAUCGGAAUCUACUUUUUCGUGGGGGAUAACGUAGGGAAACUUACGCUAAUACCGCAUACGACCUACGGGUGAAAGCAGGGGAUCUUCGGACCUUGCGCGAUUGAAUGAGCCGAUGUCGGAUUAGCUAGUUGGCGGGGUAAAGGCCCACCAAGGCGACGAUCCGUAGCUGGUCUGAGAGGAUGAUCAGCCACACUGGAACUGAGACACGGUCCAGGCUCCUACGGGAGGCAGCAGUGGGGAAUAUUGGACAAUGGGCGCAAGCCUGAUCCAGCCAUACCGCGUGGGUGAAGAAGGCCUUCGGGUUGUAAAGCCCUUUUGUUGGGAAAGAAAAGCAGCAGGUUAAUACCCCGCUGUUCUGACGGUACCCAAAGAAUAAGCACCGGCUAACUUCGUG